rnacentral:rRNA from 1 species
UACGUAGGGUGCAAGCGUUGUCCGGAAUUAUUGGGCGUAAAGAGCUCGUAGGCGGUGUGUCGCGUCGGCCGUGAAAACCUGGGGCUCAACUCUGGGCGUGCGGUCGAUACGGGCAGGCUGGAGUUCGGUAGGGGAGACUGGAAUUCCUGGUGUAGCGGUGAAAUGCGCAGAUAUCAGGAGGAACACCGGUGGCUAAGGCGGGUCUCUGGGCCGAUACUGACGCUGAGGAGCGAAAGCGUGGGGAGCGAACAGG